GGGAGCUGAGUCAGACCUGUCGCAGGAGGAGUCUGCCGGAGAGAAGCGUUUGGAAACUUUAUUGCUUUUUUAUUGCACCGUGCGGGGCUUUCACUAAGUCUUGCUGUUUACUGGAGCGGCCGCUGUACAAGAAGUGUUUUGAACACAACAAAAAAACAAAAUCUACAAGCUCCUUACCAAAGCUGGGGAAGAGAAUGAUCUGAGAGGUUUCCUGGGCCGGGCCGGGUCGGCGGUUGACCCAUGCCGUCCUGCUGGUCCUCAGCGCCCUCUGAUGCAUGUGCCUGGUUGGUGGCUGUGCCGCGUCCCCAUCGAAGCGCUGCAGCGAGGUCACGGGAGGCUCCUCCAGCCCGAGGCCGUCCAGAACCCGCUCUCUGAACCAGGACAAUACCGCCUCCCUGGACAGCUCCUCUGCCCCGCAGGUUUCAAUCAGACCGUGGAUCCACAACGGACUCAGGAUGAGGAGAGCGCAGGACACCAUGGUCGCAGCGUGCAACCAACGCUUCACACGAAAUACACCACAAAGCAGAGAACUGUCUAUUUCCAGGCUUUUUCUACAAAGACAAACGCCAAUUAGUAGUGGAAAACUGAUUAUGGUCUGUGACUUCCCUUAUUCUCACAGAUAUGCGCGGCUGAGUCUGCAGCUGUCUGGGUCUGAGCGCAGUCUGCAGGCAGAAACACUAAUGUGAGAUAGCAAAGAAUGGCCUUGACAGUUGGGAUAUUGCAUUAUCAGUUUAUUGUAGCUGUUUCACACAGUAUUGAAAGAAUGUGUCUCCAUGUAUUAUUUUUUGGUUUAUCUUUUGCUUGGUUUCUUUUAGUCAUAGCUCAAACCACUCAUGCCACUUGACACACACUGUGUUUGUCGUAGUGUAAAGCACGUUUCUUUGAUGCAUUCAUAUCAAGUCAUAUCAAGUUCUCAGCUAUUUUGUCAUAUGUGAAAGAUGUAGCAAUUAUACCAUCCUUUUAGAUUUUUCUGUUUGAAAGAUAACAUUGUUAUUUUUACUUGUGUUUGCUUUAUCGGCAGCUGAAAACACUUACGCACAUCAUACCCGUUUUCCCACUAAACAAAAUGUUAUCUGUC